CUGAGCGGGGUAAAGCCAGAG
rnacentral:snRNA from 1 species